CUUAACAGUCUACUCGACGAGGGAGACAUCACAUCACAGCAGGUGGAUUCAUUCCAUGAAGCUGUGUUGUGUUUCCUGACAAGUGCUGUGGACUAUGCACUUAAGAAGCUGCCACUGAUCAAACAUGCAAAAUGUGUAGAUGUGCAGCAGAGGGCUGAAAGUGACAUUGAAGAUGUCCUGUACUUUGUCGAAAGCUUUCCCCAUCUCCUCCCAUACCAUGGGCCAGAGGAGCAUGACCUGCUGGGUGAGGAGUUUCUAAAUUAUCAGACCAUGCCAAUGAUAUCCCUGCAGGACGAGACUGAAAUGGAAAGCUUCUGGGCUGAAAUGGCAACCCGGAAACAUAAGGUGAAAGGAGCCAAAGAAUUUGAAAGUCUUGCUGCCGUCGCCAAGCUGGUCCUGGUGUUGCCCCAUUCCAACGCAGACGCUAAGAGGGUGUUUUUAGUUGUGGGACUGAACAAAACCAAGACAAGAAACAGCCUAACAUUGGAGGGCACCCUGUAAUCAAUAAUGACCAUAAAUAUAUCCGACCUGGAGCCCUGUUUCAAAUGGGAGCCCUCCUCAGAUGUCAUCAAGGCCUCCAAGAAGGCCACAGCCCAGUAUAACCGUGCCCACAGAUCAUAGACAAGGACUAGCUUCUGAUCUGCAUCUGAUACUGAUUAUGUCUCAUGGUUAGUUGUUUUUGUAAUGCGUUCAUCUGUUUUAUUGCUUGAAAAAGUAGUACUGUUUAAGCACUUUAUUUGUUGCACUUUAUUUGUUUCUGAUGGACCAUGUGGUGGGAGGCUUUGAAUGAAGAAUAAUGUCCCUCCCUAACUGAUCUUGUCGUUUUUGGCUGAACAUAAAUGAUCAUUAAGUGCUCUUAAGAAUACAAUUAUUCACAACAUAGGUUAUGUUUCAGUUAAGAGUUAGUUUGAUACCAUUGUAAUCAAAAUAUCAAUCAACCUACCUAGGUCAAAUCUUAAACACUGGUCUAUGAAUAAGGCUAUAUUGUGGCACAUAGGCAGUC